ACCCACGGGCGGCUAGCAGCUGUGUGCGGAGUCCGGGAUGAGCGUCUUCGCUGCGGCAGGCGCUGGGCUACUGUGCGCUGGGCGGCUGUGCGCCGUGCGCGCGGUCCUUCCUUGUCUUUGGAGAGGAAAGUACUUCAGUUCCGGGAAUGAGCCGGCAGAAGACAACCCGGUGACCCCUAUGCUGCGGCAUCUUAUGUACAAAAUCAAGUCUACUGGUCCCAUCACCGUGGCCGAGUACAUGAAGGAGGUCUUGACCAACCCAGCCAAGGGCUAUUAUGUGAACCGUGACAUGCUAGGAGAAAAAGGAGAUUUCAUUACUUCACCUGAAAUAAGUCAGAUCUUUGGGGAGCUCCUAGGGAUAUGGUUCAUCAGUGAAUGGAUAGCCACUGGAAAAAAUGCAGCUUUCCAACUGGUGGAACUGGGCCCAGGCAGGGGUACCCUCUUGGGAGAUAUUUUGAGGGUGUUCAGUCAGCUUGCAUCUGUGCUGAAAAACUGUGACAUUUCAAUACAUCUGGUAGAGGUGAGCCAAAAAUUAAGUGAGAUUCAAGCAUUAACGUUGACUGAAGAGAAGGUCCUAUUAGAGCGAAAUGCUGGAUCCCCAGUAUAUAUGAAAGGUGUCACUAAGUCUGGAAUUCCAAUUUCCUGGUACCGAGAUCUGCAAGAUGUUCCAAAAGAGUACAGCUUUUAUCUUGCACAUGAAUUUUUCGAUGUUCUUCCUGUGCAUAAGUUUCAGAAAACACCACACGGAUGGCGAGAAGUACUCAUUGAUAUUGAUCCACAGGUUUCUGAUAAACUGAGAUUUGUUUUGGCGCCUUGUGCUACCCCAGCAGAAGCCUUCAUACAAUGUGAUGAAACAAGGGAUCACGUGGAAGUGUGUCCUGAUGCUGGUGUUAUUAUUCAGGAACUUUCUCAACGCAUUUCACUAACUGGAGGUGCUGCCCUGAUUGCUGAUUAUGGUCAUGAUGGAACUAAGACAGAUACCUUCAGAGGGUUUUGUGGCCACAGGCUUCAUGAUGUCUUAAUUGCCCCGGGAACAGCAGACCUCACAGCUGACGUGGACUUCAGUUACUUGCGCAGAAUGUCCCAGGGGAAGGUAGCUUCUCUGGGUCCAAUAAAACAGCAAACAUUUUUAAGAAAUAUGGGCAUUGAUGUGCGGCUGAAGGUUCUUUUAGAUAAAUCAGAUGAGCCAUCACUGAGGCAGCAGUUACUUCAGGGCUAUGAUAUGUUAAUGAAUCCUACGAAGAUGGGAGAAAGAUUUAACUUUUUUGCCUUGAUACCUCAUCAGAGACUUCAUGGUAGAAAUCAUCAGAUGAAUGCAUGUCAGUCAAAACCCUCUCCAUCACCUGUAGCUGGGUUUGGUGAACUUGCUUGGCGGUGAUAUUUCAGUUUGGACUUUUUACUCCCAAGUUGGCCUAAGAAACUAGAAUAAAGGGAACACAUUUUAUAUAUCACAGAAUCUCUCUUCCCAAGGACACUAUAUAUUGGCAAGUAAAUGAAAUUGAGGUGUAUUGAAGAUAACAAUGUGGCCAGGAGAAGAGUCAUAUUAGAGAUUGCUUGAAAGAGAAAGAGUGUUUUCUAUGACUGUGGAACAAAAUAUUGCUAGUUAGAUGUUUAGAUUUGAAACA